GUGGCGCAGGCGCAGACCAGACUAUGGAGUCGGUAGCUUUGCUGAGUUGCGGUCGCUUCUAGGUGUCUGCUUUUAGUUGCUGUGCCUUGGAGUUUUGUUUCGGUUGUGCAACAGUGCCUUCUGGAGGACGCAAGUGGCGACAGGGAAUCCCCGUUGGCACAACUGUACCGGCCUCGUACGCCUUAGCCGCGCGGGGAUUGGCCGCGGUGUUCCCGAAGGGCUCUUCCCUGCCGAGUGGCUCGCAAGUCCCAGAAUCCGAGUCCGAGUGACAGUGCCCGGAAGCAUCCUGCGACGGAGCUACGCUCCCGUCGUAGCGCAGGGUGACAGAUGCUGCCGAGUGCCACACGGAUUACCUCACGCAAACCCGCCGGCCGCCUUAGGAGGCAAUGGAGCUGGAUUGGAAGCAGAGGAGCCAGUACUUGAACCAGCGCUCAUGUGGAAUGCCGGCAUCACAGGCAGCAGCUCAACCCACUGUGCUACAAUGUCAGCACCUAUUUGAACUUUUUCCUCCUUUAUUAUGAGGGAAGAGAUAGGUCGGGAGAUGAAGUUCUGGAAAUUACACUCAAAGCUGUGGUCACUGAAACCUAGAGGAUGGCAGAGAUCAAGGAAAGAGACUUACAGAGAAGCAAAUGUGGGCUGUGUGCAGACCUCUGCUUCUCAUGCUAAUCCAUGGAACAGAAGAAGAAUCAAGAUCCACCAAGAGAAACAGAAGUGCCAUCUGGGAAGAGACUAGGAAAUUGAAUUGUUAUAACUCCCACUGUGAUCAUUAGAUAUCAAAUUAAUAAUUGUACCAUGCUGAUACUGUUUAAUA